CAUGCAAUGUGUUAAAUUUUAUAUAUUCUAUAUAUUCUAGUUACUGUAGACUUAAAAAAGAGUAUGUUUUCUACACACAAUAGUUUUUAUAGAAAAUUUACGAAAUAUUUUUUCAAAAGAUGUUAUAAAAUUUUGAUUAAUUA